CUGUCUCUGUCUCUGUCUCUCUCUCUCUCUCUCCCUGUCUCUGUCUCUGUCUCUCUCUCUCUGUUGUUCAGGCGGCCGGCGGCGCUAGCAGCUAUCUGCGGCGCUGAAAUAUUCCCGGACGUCAUCGGCUGGCCAAUCAGUGCCUCCCGCUAGGCAGCUUCGGGUCUCGGUGGGGGGAGAAGGGACUCGCCAGAAGCCUUCUCUCUAAUAUCUGGCUCUUCCAGUUACUCGGUCCGGUCCCUCUCUAAGAGGAAGAAAGAUGCCCUGAAAACUAGCGGAGCAUUCAACAAAUCCAUAGUUCAUUUGAGACUUGGGACACUUUUUUUUUUCCACAUGGAAAUCAGGAAGGUCAGCGACUUGCACUCAAAGUCCGGGUGAGUUUUGUACCGGUUUCUUUCUCGCUGUCUGAACUUAGUAAACUCUGAGACAAGCGUUCAGCCUGCAGGCGGAGAACCUCCCGGCUGCCUGGAUCCGGCCUUCCAACUUGUGUUCAGCUUCUCCGGCUGUCAGCUUUGUUCAGCUCUCCUGUUGUUGUGGUUUGCGUGUGAGGGUAUUUGUCUGGGGCCGGUCACCCUCUGCCUCACCCCCAUCCCUCCCCCCCCCUGUACGUUUUGUCACUGCCUGUCCCCUCCAUCACUUCCACUUGAGCGCUCCCCUGUUUGGGAGCCUCUCCCUCUCUUUUUGCAGAGUGAAGAGGAGGGCAGGAAACCUUGCAGACACGCACACACACACACACACACAUCAGAACCUGGGUCUUGAUAAACACAUGGGAUCCCCCUUAAUACUGUCGUUUAUCUCUUUGAAUUUUGUUGAAUUUUGUUUUUUGUGCAUAUGCAAAACGACCACCUAGGCUCAUCUGCGAUUCGGGUGUUUCUCGCGUGUUUCGGGCUCUGCAACCGGACAUGACGAUACUGGGAGAAAGCUGCUCGUUAGGACUGAUUUGGAAAGGAGUUUUGAGUUGUCAGUCAAAGUUGAGUGAGUCCUCAUUUGCGUCAGGAUUUUUAUGUUUGUUGCCUAGAAUAACGUUGAGUUGCAGUUGGAUUGAUGCUGAGGUGCGACUCUGGUCUGAGUGCAAAGCCGGAGUUGAUUAGCUGGUUUGUGUAUGCAUGACCGGUAUGUAGCUUCAGCUAGAUGACCGGGUCACGGAAAGGCAUGCAUGUCAUGGGAGAGAGAAGAUUAUACCCACUCUGUCAUUACAGUCCGUGCAUUAAACCAUCAUUACCUCCUUUUACGGUAUUUACCGAAACUGGAGGAGAAAAACAACUCCUGGAUGAGUUCGAUGGAACCCACCAGCGACUGAAGUCAAGGAUAAAGUGAAUUCGUCAUUGGCCAUUAAAAGGUAAACCCCAGUCAAAACAAAUGGCCUGUAGAUCCAGACCGUACACAUCCAUCACAUGAUUAAUCCUACCAGAUUUCUGGAGCUCCACAUGCAAUUCCUGAC
ensembl:lncRNA